AUUGAACGCUGGCGGCAUGCCUAACACAUGCAAGUCAAACGGCAGCACAGUAAAGAUUUCGGUCUUUAUGGGUGGCGAGUGGCGGACGGGUGAGUAAUGCGUAGGAAUCUGUCCUGGAGAGUAGGAUAACCCGAGGAAACUCGGGCUAAUACUGCAUGAUAUCGAGAGAUCAAAGGCAGGGGACCCUUCGGGGACUUGCGCUCUAGGAUGAGCCUACGUCGGAUUAGCUAGUUGGUGGGGUAAAGGCCUACCAAGGCGACGAUCCGUAGCUGGUCUGAGAGGAUGACCAGCCACACUGGGACUGAGACACGGCCCAGACUCCUACGGGAGGCAGCAGUGGGGAAUCUUGGACAAUGGGGGAAACCUUGAUCCAGCGAUGCCGCGUGUGUGAAGAAGGCCUUCGGGUUGUAAAGCACUUUAGUUGGGGAAGAAAAGUAAUGAGUGAAUAACUGAUUGCUCUGACGGUACCCAAAGAAUAAGCACCGGCUAACUCUGUGCCAGCCGCCGCAGUAA
rnacentral:rRNA from 1 species